GACGAACGCUGGCGGCGUGCUUAACACAUGCAAGUCGAACGCUGAAGCACCAGCUUGCUGGUGUGGAUGAGUGGCGAACGGGUGAGUAAUACGUGAGUAACCUGCCCUUGACUCUGGGAUAAGCCCGGGAAACUGGGUCUAAUACUGGAUGCUACAUGUCACCGCAUGGUGGUGUGGAAAGGGUUUACUGGUCUUGGAUGGGCUCACGGCCUAUCAGCUUGUUGGUGAGGUAAUGGCUCACCAAGGCGACGACGGGUAGCCGGCCUGAGAGGGUGACCGGCCACACUGGGACUGAGACACGGCCCAGACUCCUACGGGAGGCAGCAGUGGGGAAUAUUGCACAAUGGGCGAAAGCCUGAUGCAGCGACGCCGCGUGAGGGAUGACGGCCUUCGGGUUGUAAACCUCUUUCAGCAGGGAAGAAGCCACAAGUGACGGUACCUGCAGAAGAAGCGCCGGCUAACUACGUGCCAGCAGCCGCUGUAA
rnacentral:rRNA from 1 species